rnacentral:rRNA from 1 species
GGUAAGUAACACGUUGGUGACCUGCCCCAGAGAGGGGGAUAGCCAUUGGAAACGAUGGCUAAUACCCCGGAUGUCAUUACUGUUAGAGAGUAAUGACUAAAGCUCCGGCGCUCUGGGAGGGGCCUGCGGCCCAUCAGCUAGUUGGCAGGGUAAUGGCCUACCAAGGCAUAGACGGGUAGGGGGCGUGAGAGCGUGACCCCCCACACUGGUACUGAAACACGGACCAGAUACCUACGGGUAGCAGCAGCAAGGAAUAUUGCUUAAUGGAUGAAAGUCUGAGGCAGCAACGCCGCGUGGAGGACGAAGGCCUUCGGGUCGUAAACUCCUUUUCUGGGGGAAGAGAAAGGACGGUACCCCAGGAAUAAGUCUCGGCUAACUACGUGCCAGCAGCCGCGGUAAAACGUAGGAGGCGAGCGUUAUCCGGAUUUACUGGGCGUAAAGCGCGUGCAGGCGGUUUUCUAAGUCGGACGUGAAAGCUCCUGGCUCAACUAGGAGAGGUCGUUCGAAACUAGGAGGCUUGAGGAUGGUAGAGGAGAGUGGAAUUCCCGGUGUAGUGGUGAAAUGCGUAGAUAUCGGGAGGAACACCAGUGGCGAAGGCGGCUCUCUGGGCCAUUCCUGACGCUAAGACGCGAAAGCUAGGGGAGAGAACGGGAUUAGAAACCCCGGUAUUCCUAGCCGUAAACGAUGUCAACUAGGUGUAGGGGGUAUCCAACCCCCCUGUGCUGCAGCAAACGCGAUAAGUUGACCGCCUGGGGACUAC